UACGAACCGUCCAAACGUUAUUCGGAUUUAUUGGGCUUAAAGGGUAUGUAGGCGGCCCUUCAAGUCGGGUGUGAAAGCCCUCGGCUCAACCGAGGAACUGCGCCCGAUACUGUGGGGCUCGAGGGAGACAGAGGUAAGCGGAACUGAUGGGUGAGCGGUGAAAUGCGUUGAUAUCAUCAGGAACACCAGUGGCGAAAGCGGCUUACUGGGUCUCUUCUGACGCUGAGAUACGAAAGCUAGGGGAGCGAACGG
rnacentral:rRNA from 1 species